UCACCUUCGGGUGGUGUCUGGUUGUGGAUGCAGGGGACCUGAUCUGGUAGUAGCCAAGUGAUGGGGUGACGCAGGAAGGUAGCCGUGCCACCUGAUGGAUGGUGGUGUAAGCGUGUAGCCCGUGGUCCAGGUAAAUCCGGACCGCAAUUGAAGGGUGAGACGUGAUGCGUACCCGUAGUGGGGAAGUUGGUGAUCCUAUGCUGCCGAGAAAAGCCUCUAGCGAGUGGUUGUGUGGCCCGUACCCCAAACCGACACAGGUGGUCAGGUAGAGAAUACUAAGGCGAUCGGGUGAACUGUGGUUAAGGAACUCGGCAAAAUGCCCCCGUAACUUCGGGAGAAGGGGGGCCUCGUCAUGUCUAUGCCUUUACGGCGGACGGCGUGAUGUGGCCGCAGAGAAUAGAGGGAAGCGACUGUUUACUAAAAACACAGGUCCGUGCGAAGACGGUAAGUCGAUGUAUACGGACUGACGCCUGCCCGGUGCUGGAAGGUUAAGAGGACCUGUUAGGCCGGUUUUGCCGGCCGAAGCGGAGAAUUUAAGCCCCAGUAAACGGCGGUGGUAACUAUAACCAUCCUAAGGUAGCGAAAUUCCUUGUCGGGUAAGUUCCGACCUGCACGAAUGGCGUAACGACUUCCCUGCUGUCUCAACCACAGACCCGGCGAAAUUGCAGUACGAGUAAAGAUGCUCGUUACGCGCGGCAGGACGAAAAGACCCCGGGACCUUCACUAUAGCUUGGUAUUGGUGUUCGGUUCGGUUUGUGUAGGAUAGGUGGGAGACUGUGAAACCUCAACGCCAGUUGGGGUGGAGUCGUUGUUGAAAUACCACUCUGAUCGUAUUGGAUAUCUAACCUCGGCCCGUGAUCCGGGUUGGGGACAGUGCCUGGUGGGUAGUUUAACUGGGGCGGUUGCCUCCCAAAGAGUAACGGAGGCGCCCAAAGGUUCCCUCAGCCUGGUUGGCAAUCAGGUGUUGAGUGUAAGUGCACAAGGGAGCUUGACUGUGAGACUGACAGGUCGAGCAGGUACGAAAGUAGGGACUAGUGAUCCGGCACCGGCUUGUGGAAGCGGUGUCGCUCAACGGAUAAAAGGUACCCCGGGGAUAACAGGCUGAUCUUCCCCAAGAGUCCAUAUCGACGGGAUGGUUUGGCACCUCGAUGUCGGCUCGUCGCAUCCUGGGGCUGGAGUAGGUCCCAAGGGUUGGGCUGUUCGCCCAUUAAAGCGGCACGCGAGCUGGGUUUAGAACGUCGUGAGACAGUUCGGUCUCUAUCCGCCGCGCGCGUAGAAACUUGAGGAAGGCUGUCCCUAGUACGAGAGGACCGGGACGGACGUACCUCUGGUGUGCCAGUUGUUCCGCCAGGGGCAUUGCUGGUUGGCUACGUACGGAAGGGAUAACCGCUGAAAGCAUCUAAGCGGGAAGCCUGUU
rnacentral:rRNA from 1 species